AACCCGCCAUGUUUGAACAAACCAAAAUGCCAUCUUUACAAUAACAAAGCAACAAUAAUUAUAGUUAAAUUGUUGUUGAUAAUUGUGUAAUUUGUGUUUUUGUGUGUUUCAACUAACUGAUUCUAUUAACAAUGAAUCAAUAGACAAUAACAAGCAACAAUAAUAACCCGCAUUAACAGAAGUACAUUAUGUUGAUCAAGUUAACAUUACUUGGAAAUUGGAAAAGGUAAAUGUGUAACACAAUGUGUUACUGUGUUCAAAUAUAAAAAUGUAAACACACAAAUAUACACACAAAUUAACCUUAAACAGUGUAAUCAAUUAAAUCAUCGACCUGAAGGUUAAUCAGUUUUCAAUGAUAAUACAAGGAACCAUUCUUACCUUGGUCAACACACAAAGUAAAGUUGAACAACAAUCAGCUUUAAUUAACAUUGAGCUUAUUAAAAUGGUAAAUGGUUAUAAAAUUGGUGAAUAAAUACGGAAUAAAUGGCAACUAAUCAAACCUAAUACUGGUAAACCAUUAGAGGUGAUUGGACACGAGUCUUUACAUAUACAAUGGCCCAUACCAGUAUCAUUGAAUAUCAAUAUUCCAUACAGAUAAAUGGAAACGAUGAAUAUUUAUGGAUAAGAAGAUGAUAAAGACGAUGAUGAUGAUGAUUAUGAUGAUUAUGAUGAUGAAGAUGAUGGUGAAGAUUGAGAGUGACUUAUAAAUGGGAUGUGCCAUUGUGCCUGGAGGCUGUUAUAUUGGGCACUUUGGUGUUCCUAUUUAUGUGUUGUAUAUGCCAAUGGAAUGUAAUUAGACUGUUGCGUGGUUUCUUUAAGGUUUGGCCAUCAAACAAAUGAAUAAGAUAGAUCCGGAUUCUUAGGAAUCAUCAUCAUCAUCAUCAACAGGCUCAUCAUUAUCAUCUUUUUGAUUCAAUCAUCAUCCUAUAUUGUGCAUUUACACUUUCAUUACAGUUUAAGGUUCAACAGGUAAAGCAAAAGAAACCUAUUUCCAUUUGUUUCAACCAUCAAGGAUAAUUAGUUUCUUAGAUGAUUACCAUUACCUGCUCUUUACAAUUAAAUUAUCAACAUUUACUCUGGAUGUCUGUAGAUGAGCGUUUCUUUUUUGCGUUCAACAUGCCUUUGCGCCUUUCUGUCAUUACACGGGUACAAUAUUGGUUUAACUGUGGGUUUACUUGUUGUUAAAUUUGACCCUUGUCUUUCAAUGUGACCAGUUAAUUGUUGGUUGUAAUCGUCAUGUAUAUUAGUUGAAUUAAAGGUUGUAAACAUGUAA